GAGUUUGCUCGCGGUGGUCCAG
rnacentral:siRNA from 1 species